AUUAUACUUUUAUAAUCAUUCUUCAAAUUCAUAAAUUCUUCUUAACAAUACUCUCAAAUUCAACAAAAUGAAUCAUUAAAUUGAAUUUCCCCUUCAUAAUGAAAAUAAAUUUUCUUAAUAAAAACAUCUAAAAAAUGGGAGUGAAACGUCCAUACAAUUGACAAAAUGGGAGUGAAACGUCUAGGUGUUAACCGUCUUGGGAGUGAAACGUCUCAAUAGUGAAACGUCUUGGGAGUGAAAUCCCUAGUUUCGAAAUUUGACAUUCAUUGAAAGAUUGUAACAAUUGAAACCAAAAAGUAUAGCAAUAUGUCGGAUCAGAGGUGACACUAUACAAACAUUUGAAAUUGUUUAACUAGUCAAAAACCACUGUAAAUUUUAACAAUUCUUCAGUUACACCUAUUCAACAAGGGAACUUAAUUUAAACUUUACAUAGCAUUGUGCAGAAUGAUAUUUUCUGAAGAGAAGUAAUUAAUACAUGGAACUAUUCUUCAACAUGUUGAUGCUAAGAAUCAAUGUUAACAGAUUUUGUGUCAAGCAUUUGUGACAAAUUUUGUCUAAUGAACUGGAGAACCCAUUUAACUAGAUCUCUGCAGAAAGGACAACAGCAUAAAAACUAGCAAUCUAACAUUUGAAGGCUGUAGAAAUCUACAUGUAUGUGCCAAACAAUUUCUAGAGGGAGCAGAGCUUAAAUAUGUAUCUUACAGGUGGGAAGGUAUUGUGUAUUGCCAAACUUCCCAUAUUUCAUCUAUUGCAGUGCUUAAAUGUUUAAUUCCGGUUUGACAGAGGAUGCCAUAUUCAUUUUGCUGCUUCAAGACAAAGAAGAUGCACAUUCAUUUGAACAGUUAUAAAAUCAUGGAUCAUGUUAUGACUAAUCACUAACAUCUUAUGUUAUACAUAAUGUCAAAGUUAAAUAUAUUUGGUAAAGCUUGACAAUAAUAUAUAUAUAUUAUAUAAAUCAUCAAUAUAAAUGAAGUGACAAUUUAUCUGGAUAUACGACAUUGAUUAUUUAAUUAUUUGUCUGUAACAAUAUAAAAGAUUUAGUAAUGUUUCUAUAUAAUAAAAAAGUAAG